CGGCGUGCCUAAUACAUGCAAGUCGAACGGUCUUUCUAUGGAAGCUUGCUUCCACUGAGAAGAUAGCGGCGAACGGGUGAGUAACACGUGGGUAACCUGCCCAUAAGAGGGGGAUAACAUCCGGAAACGGGUGCUAAUACCGCAUAGUUUUCUUGAUCGCAUGAUUGAGAAAGGAAAGACGGCCUUUGUGCUGUCGCUUAUGGAUGGACCCGCGGCGUAUUAGUUAGUUGGUGAGGUAACGGCUCACCAAGACGAUGAUACGUAGCCGACCUGAGAGGGUGAUCGGCCACAUUGGGACUGAGACACGGCCCAAACUCCUACGGGAGGCAGCAGUAGGGAAUCUUCCGCAAUGGACGAAAGUCUGAUGGAGCAACGCCGCGUGAGUGAAGAAAGGGUUUUCGGAUCGUAAAACUCUGUUGUCAGAGAAGAACAAGUUGGAGAGUAACUGCUCCAGCCUUGACGGUAUCUGACCAGAAAGCCACGGCUAACUACGUGCCAGCCGCAGC
rnacentral:rRNA from 1 species